CUUCGUUCGAGGCCUCCUCGUCCCGGUGGACUUCGACGGCAGUAGAAGUGGCAAGUGCCGGUCGGACCAAGUGGUGGAGACCUCAGUGGAGGGUGUCAAGUCCCGUACGUCACUGAGCGCUUAAUGGCCCCUGACAAGAAAUAAAGAGAGGCGAAGUACGAUCGAGAAGGCUGAUCUACGAGGAAUCGGACGAGGAGCCGCGCGCUAACGGUGCUACCCAUCUCCCUGCUUGCCAGCUGUUGGCUGGAGCAAGAGUACGAAAGCUCUCUCGCCCGAUCUCCUCUUUCAUCCGUCAUCUCUCGCCUAACAUCGUCCGACGGGCAGCAAGAAGAGGAAAGAGAUGAAACGAUCUCGCCGUAAAAAAAAAAAAACCAAUACCAGCAUUGUGAACUUUGAAAGCUUACAAAUUUACCUCGCGAGAUUUGCAUAUUGUAUCACAAGCGUUAACGGAUCUUUUUGUCGGGAGCGCCGAACCGGUUUCGAGUUUCGUUGUCGCUCGUAUCGGAAAAACUAUGUCGCUUGCUUUUUACGCUCGAGCGAAAUGCAAAAACCCCGAGGGUGAACUAAUAUUGGAAACCGAGCAACCGAUACGGAUCGCGCCGAUCGCUUCGCGCGACUCUCGUUGCAAUUAAUGUUGCAAGUCGAUGUCUAUUCCGAGAAACGGUCUAUUUUCUCUCGGCCGCCAUUGCUCUCUGCCAUUCACCUACAAUCGCUCCUGCUCCUUUCUCGAGUUUAAGCGAGAGCCUUUCAUAGCUCGUCGUCGCCGCGCGCAAUUGUCGCGGCGCAACGAUUCGCGAUCAUCGCGCGAACGUCGAAUCGGAUCAUCGAGCGCUGCACUUUCGAGCGCGGCGAUGUUUUGCUUCCUUCAUCGCGGAACGAAUAAACGAUCGUGACCGGAAGAGAUGGGAUUUAUGAAAAUCGAGUUUACUGGAACGGAUCCGGCGCACUGAUCCUUGGUAACCGACAUCCCGGUCAAGGUGGAAGAAGUUUCACGAAAAACAAGCGAAAGACCGCGUCACGAUAAAAUUCCUAAACUGUAUAAUGCCGGAAUAUUAAGAUAUGGUAAUGAGAUAAUAUGCGCAAAAGAAGCUACCUAAAUAAACGAAUAACAAGUAUUACUGUUAUUUCACGUAUCGAAAAACUAAUAAAAAAAAACUAAAUCUCUCA